UUAAAAGAAACUGCGGGAGUUGAACUAAAUGAAACUUCAUUCAUUUUCAAAUAACAACCUUGCAGCUAUUUCUCAUCUCUUUUCUCUUGUUAUUCUUUUUUUUUCAAAAGAAAUAUGUAUUGUCAUCCUUCUUUUCUUUUUCCAUUUUUUUCUUCUUUUUCUAUUUUUUUCUUUCUGUUUCCUGCUAACUUUUGAAAUAUCAGAACUAUAAUUAUUCAAUUCAACACAACUCCAAACAAGACUCUUUCAACCCUUUGAAUAUGGUGCUAAUAUUGUUUUUC
rnacentral:lncRNA from 1 species